UACGUAGGUCGCAAGCGUUGUCCGGAUUUACUGGGCGUAAAGAGCGCGCAGGCGGCUGGUCAAGUCCGAUGUGAAAUCUCCCGGCUCAACUGGGAAACUGCAUCGGAAACUAAUCGGCUUGAAGAUGGGAGAGGGUAGUGGAAUUCCCGGUGUAGUGGUGAAAUGCGUAGAUAUCGGGAGGAACACCAGUGGCGAAGGCGACUACCUGGCCCAUUCUUGACGCUGAGGCGCGAAAGCUAGGGGAGCGAACGGG
rnacentral:rRNA from 1 species